UGAGUAAUGUCUGGGAAACUGCCUGAUGGAGGGGGAUAACUACUGGAAACGGUAGCUAAUACCGCAUAACGUCGCAAGACCAAAGAGGGGGACCUUCGGGCCUCUUGCCAUCAGAUGUGCCCAGAUGGGAUUAGCUAGUAGUUGGGGUAAUGGCUCACCUAGGCGACGAUCCCUAGCUGGUCUGAGAGGAUGACCAGCCACACUGGAACUGAGACACGGUCCAGACUCCUACGGGAGGCAGCAGUGGGGAAUAUUGCACAAUGGGCGCAAGCCUGAUGCAGCCAUGCCGCGUGUGUGAAGAAGGCCUUCGGGUUGUAAAGCACUUUCAGCGAGGAGGAAGGUGGUGAACUUAAUACGUUCAUCAAUUGACGUUACUCGCAGAAGAAGCACCGGCUAACUCCGUGCCAGCAGCCGCGGUAAUACGGAGGGUGCAAGCGUUAAUCGGAAUUACUGGGCGUAAAGCGCACGCAGGCGGUUUGUUAAGUCAGAUGUGAAAUCCCCGGG
rnacentral:rRNA from 1 species